rnacentral:sRNA from 1 species
UAUUCUGCCCCACGGGGAAGGAUGAGAAGCUUCGACUAAGGUUCGACUCGAGCGUAGCGAGAGAACGUUGCCGCAAGCAACGGCCCGAAGGGCGAGGCGCGUUAGCGCCGAGUCAUCCUUCCCCCACCAUUC